CAGUAGCCGCGGUAAUACGUAGGUGGCAAGCGUUGUCCGGAAUUAUUGGGCGUAAAGCGCGCGCAGGCGGAUCGGUCAGUCUGUCUUAAAAGUUCGGGGCUUAACCCCGUGAUGGGAUGGAAACUGCCAAUCUAGAGUAUCGGAGAGGAAAGUGGAAUUCCUAGUGUAGCGGUGAAAUGCGUAGAUAUUAGGAAGAACACCAGUGGCGAAGGCGACUUUCUGGACGAAAACUGACGCUGAGGCGCGAAAGCCAGGGGAGCGAACGGGAUUAGAUACCCGCGUAGUCCCUGUCUCUUAUACA
rnacentral:rRNA from 1 species